rnacentral:rRNA from 1 species
UACGUAGGGUGCAAGCGUUGUCCGGAAUCAUUGGGCGUAAAGCGCGUGUAGGCGGUCCGGUAAGUCCGCUGUGAAAGUUGGGGGCUCAACCCUCGGAUGCCGGUGGAUACUGUCGGGCUAGAGUGCGGAAGAGGCGAGUGGAAUUCCUGGUGUAGCGGUGAAAUGCGCAGAUAUCAGGAGGAACACCAAUUGCGAAAGCAGCUCGCUGGGACGUGACUGACGCUGAUACGCGAAAGCGUGGGGAGCAAACAGG